rnacentral:rRNA from 1 species
AGCAGCCGCGGUAAUUCCAGCUCCAAUAGCGUAUAUUAAAGUUGUUGCAGUUAAAAAGCUCGUAGUUGAAUUUCGGGGUUAGUAGGUUGGUCAUGCCUCUGGUAUGUACUGGUCUCACUGAUUCCUCCUUCCUUAUGAACCGUAAUGCCAUUAAUUUGGUGUUGCGAGGAAUUUGGACUGUUACUUUGAAAAAAUUAGAGUGUUUAAAGCAAGCUAACGCUUGAAUACAUUAGCAUGGAAUAAUGAAAUAGGACGUUCGAUCUUAUUUUGUUGGUUUCUAGGAUUGACGUAAUGAUUAAUAGGGAUAGUUGGGAGCAUUAGUAUUCAAUUGUCAGAGGUGAAAUUCUUGGAUUUAUUGAAGACUAACUACUGCGAAAGCAUUUGCCAAGGAUGUUUCAUUAAUCAAGAACGAAAGUUAGGGGAUCGAAGACGAUCAGAUACCGUCGUAGUCUUAACCAUAAACUAUGCCGACUAGGGAUCGGAUGAUGUUAAUUUUUAAUGACUCAUUCGGCGCCUUAAC